AUGCUGAAAAAAUACCAAGCGCAUAUUAAUGUUGAGUGGUGCAAUAAAACUCAUGUCAUCAAGUAUCUUUACAAGUAUGUUACAAAGGGUCCUGAUUUUUCGAAAACUUUGUUUGAAAGCAUAAAAAACAAGAAUGGUAUUGAGAUUGAUGAGAUCAUUGAAUAUAGAGAAUGUCGCUACAUAUGUGAUAAAGAUGGUUGCUGGAGGAUAUAUGGCUUUGAUAUACAUAGUAAAAUGCCUUCUGUUGAAGGACUACCCAUUCACCUAUUAAAUAAACACAUAGUACGCUUCAAUGUAAAGGCAAACCUGAAGUCGGUUGCUGAUGAUGCCUGGCUACAGAGAACAAUGUUGAUGGAGUGGUUUGUGGCUAACAGAUCUCAUUUGAGUGCUAGGUCUCUUACUUAUUGCGACUUCCCAACCAAAUGGACUUGGGUAGGAAACAAGAAACAAUGGAUUCCUAAUACCUCAAGUUAUAGGAUUGGUAGAAUUUAUUAUGUACAUCCUACAACUGGAGAACUUUACUCUCUUAGAAUGCUUCUCAUGAUUGUUAAAGGUGCCAAGUCUUAUGCAGAUGUUAGAACCUAUAAUGGGAUUGUGUAUGAAACUUUCAAAGAGGCAUGUGCUGCUAGGGGCUUGCUUGGAGACGAUCUCGAAUGGUAUAGUGCAUUUGACAAGGCUUUAACCUGGGGUAUGGGGGAUCAGUUACAUAGGCUCUUUGUUACAAUACUUGUCCAUUGUGGGGUUAGUGAUGAAAAUGCUUUUUUUGAAAAAUAUUGGUUGGAGUUGGCUCAAGAUAUUGAACACCGUAUAAAGCGCUCCUUUCAUGAUGAUGAUCAUGUUGUGCAUGUUGAUGAACUGAUAGAUAUGUUACUUGAUAAACUGACCAUUCUAUUUGCUAAAAAUGCAUCUAAUAUUCUAGAUCACAAUCUACCAUUAAAGACUGUAUAUGAUGAUGAUUUAGAUGAAAAUGGUAUGAUAAAUGAUGAACUAUGCACUGAUCCUAAAGCUAAGCUUAUAAAAGUAGAGACCAUGUACAACCAACUUAAUCCAGAUCAACUCCUAGAUUACAAGAGUAUUAUUGAUAGGGUUAUAUCUGGAGAACUUGGCUUUUUCUUUGUUUCUGGAUAUGGCGGGACUGGGAAAACUUUUCUCUGGAAUGCUAUAGUUGCUUAUCUUAGAGGCAAGGAGAGGAUUGUUCUCACGGUUGCAUCUUCUGGGGUUGCAACACUUCUUUUGCCUGGAGGUAGAACUGCUCAUUCUAGGUUUAAAAUGCCGAUCUGUCUAGAUGACAAUGGAACAUGUGAUAUAAAAAGAUCUAGCAAGUUAGCAGAGAUGAUUGAAUCAGCCUCACUAAUAAUUUGGGAUGAAGCUUUAAUGUCACAUCGUAAGUGCUUUGAGGCUCUGGAUCGUAGUUUGCGUGAUAUUUUAUCUGCUAAUGAUCCUUCUAUUGUUGGCAUGCCUUUUGGUGGUAAGGUUGUGGUUUUGGGUGGUGAUCUGAGACAGAUUUUACCAUUCAUUGAGGGUGGGACUCGCACCCAGGUUAUUAAUGCCGCUGUAACAAAUUCGCCUCUAUGA
rnacentral:rRNA from 1 species